rnacentral:rRNA from 1 species
UACGUAGGAGGCAAGCGUUGUCCGGAAUUACUGGGCGUAAAGGGCGCGUAGGCGGGAUGGCAAGUCGGUCGUGAAAUCCCUCGGCUCAACCGAGGAACGUCGAUCGAUACUGCUGUUCUUGAGGAUUGCAGAGGAGACUGGAAUUCCCGGUGUAGCGGUGAAAUGUGUAGAGAUCGGGAGGAACACCGGUGGCGAAGGCGGGUCUCUGGGCAAUUCCUGACGCUGAGGCGCGAAAGCGUGGGGAGCAAACGGG